UCCCCGGUAGCUCAACGGUAGAGCAGAUUCCUGUUAAGAAUAAGGUUGUAGGUUCGAAUCCUAUCCGGGGAGCCA
rnacentral:tRNA from 1 species